rnacentral:rRNA from 1 species
GAUGAACGCUGGCGGCGUGCCUAAUACAUGCAAGUCGAGCGAACAGACGAGGAGCUUGCUCCUCUGACGUUAGCGGCGGACGGGUGAGUAACACGUGGAUAACCUACCUAUAAGACUGGGAUAACUUCGGGAAACCGGAGCUAAUACCGGAUAACAUGCUGAACCGCAUGGUUCAACAGUGAAAGACGGUCUUGCUGGCACUUAUAGAUGGAUCCGCGCCGCAUUAGCUAGUUGGUAAGGUAACGGCUUACCAAGGCAACGAUGCGUAGCCGACCUGAGAGGGUGAUCGGCCACACUGGAACUGAGACACGGUCCAGGCUCCUACGGGAGGCAGCAGUAGGGAAUCUUCCGCAAUGGGCGAGAGCCUGACGGAGCAACGCCGCGUGAGUGAAGAAGGUCUUCGGAUCGUAAAACUCUGUUAUUAGGGAAGAACAAAUGUGUAAGUAACUAUGCACGUCUUGACGGUACCUAAUCAGAAAGCCACGGCUAACUACGUG